rfam:Smittium mucronatum strain ALG-7-W6 scaffold-84, whole genome shotgun sequence.
AGAGUAAUGGUGUAGUGGUUAUCACGUCUGCUUCACACGCAGAAGGUCCUGGGUUCGAGCCCCAGUUACUCUA